rnacentral:rRNA from 1 species
AGUGAACGCUGGCGGUAGGCCUAACACAUGCAAGUCGAACGGCAGCACAGUAAGAGCUUGCUCUUACGGGUGGCGAGUGGCGGACGGGUGAGGAAUACAUCGGAAUCUACUUUUUCGUGGGGGAUAACGUAGGGAAACUUACGCUAAUACCGCAUACGACCUACGGGUGAAAGCAGGGGAUCUUCUGACCUUGCGCGAUUGAAUGAGCCGAUGUCGGAUUAGCUAGUUGGCGGGGUAAAGGCCCACCGAGGCGACGAUCCGUAGCUGGUCUGAGAGGAUGAUCAGCCACACUGGAACUGAGACACGGUCCAGACUCCUACGGGAGGCAGCAGUGGGGAAUAUUGGACAAUGGGCGCAAGCCUGAUCCAGCCAUACCGCGUGGGUGAAGAAGGCCUUCGGGUUGUAAAGCCCUUUUGUUGGGAAAGAAAAGCAGCAGGUUAAUACCCCGCUGUUCUGACGGUACCCAAAGAAUAAGCACCGGCUAACUUCGUG